CUUAACUGUAGAAUUGCCAUUGAUACUGUUAUUCUUGAAUGCAGUUGAGGUAGGCGGAAUGUGUAAUGUACCGGUGAAAUGCUUAGAUAUUACCCAGAACACCGAUUGCGUAGGCAGCUUGCUAAACUGUGAUUGACGCUGAGGCACGAAAGCGUGGGUAGCAAACAGGAUUAGAUACCCUGGUAGUCCACGCCGUAAACGAUGAUUACUCGAUGUGUGCAAUAUAUCGUACGCGUCUGAGCGAAAGCAUUAAGUAAUCCACCUGGGGAGUACGGCCGCAAGGUUGAAACUCAAAGGAAUUGACGGGGGCCCGCACAAGCGGAGGAACAUGUGGUUUAAUUCGAUGAUACGCGAGGAACCUUACCUGGGCUUAAAUGUAUUCUGACGUUCCGGGAAACUGGAAUUCCCUUCGGGGCAGAUUACAAGGUGCUGCAUGGUUGUCGUCAGCUCGUGCCGUGAGGUGUCGGGUUAAGUCCCAUAACGAGCGCAACCCCUAUUGUUAGUUGCCAGCGGAUAAUGCCGGGGACUCUAACGAAACUGCCAGUGUAAACUGUGAGGAAGGUGGGGAUGACGUCAAAUCAGCACGGCCCUUACGUCCAGGGCUACACACGUGUUACAAUGGUCGGUACAAAGGGCAGCUACCACGCGAGUGGAUGCUAAUCUCCAAAACCGAUCUUAGUUCGGAUUGAAGUCUGCAACUCGACUUCAUGAAGCUGGAUUCGCUAGUAAUCGCACAUCAGCCAUGGUGCGGUGAAUACGUUCCCGGGCCUUGUACACACCGCCCGUCAAGCCAUGGAAGCCGGGGGUACCUGAAGUCCGUAACCGCAAGGAGCGGCACUAGGGUAAAACUGCGUAACUGNGGGCUAAGUCGUNNANCAAGGUAACUAUAGG
rnacentral:rRNA from 1 species